GGAAUUCUUUGGGAGUUCCCACCCUAGACACCCGGGCUGCCCCCUCCUCUCCCUCCAGGGUUUGUGUUCACAUGACGUCUCUUCUCAGCCCCCUGCCCUUCAGUUGGCCCUAUACCAGUGUCCUCACAUUCCCCAAGGCCUCGACUGGGUUUCUUUUGGCUGUGGACUCACCCUUGACUUUUCAGUUUUUUUCACUAUAGAAUUUCCCAUAGGAAUCUAGAAAAGAAAAGAUGUCAAUUUCUCUAGGAAGGAAGGAAAAGCUGAGAGAAGAGAACAACAACGGAGCCUGUGGGGCGACAGUGUGGGCCUUUGAUUCCAGUACAUGAGGGGCAGAGGCAGAUGGCUGGCUGUAAGUUCCAGGCUGGCCUGGUCAACACAGCAAAUUUCACGACAGCCAGGGUUACAAGGUAAGACCUUACCAAAACCAAACCAAACCAAACCAAACCAAACAAGCCCCCAAAACCACAAACCAAAUCAACCACAUAGUGAAGCCAUGAAUGAGCCUCGAGAAUCAGGCCAGAGAACCAGGCUGAUGACGUUGAUGCACGAAUGAUGGAUGACUGGGAAAGACAGAGAGAAGCUACCGGACUUGGCUGAAAGGCGGGACUUCUGCUCUCCCAAGAGCAGCCAAGUAGAUGCUGAGGCCAACAGAAUGAAGAUACUUUAACAAUAUAUUCAAUUAGUGGUUUAAAUUUCCAUCUUAAUAUCACCUUUACAGUGUGCUAUGCACAAUAAAUCCUGGCCC
rnacentral:lncRNA from 1 species